rnacentral:rRNA from 2 species
AGAUUAAGUUAUUAAGGGCGCACGGUGGAUGCCUUGGCACUAGAAGCCGAUGAAGGACGUUACUAACGACGAUAUGCUUUGGGGAGCUGUAAGUAAGCUUUGAUCCAGAGAUUUCCGAAUGGGGAAACCCAGCAUGAGUUAUGUCAUGUUAUCGAUAUGUGAAUACAUAGCAUAUCAGAAGGCACACCCGGAGAACUGAAACAUCUUAGUACCCGGAGGAAGAGAAAGAAAAUUCGAUUCCCUUAGUAGCGGCGAGCGAAACGGGAAGAGCCCAAACCAACAAGCUUGCUUGUUGGGGUUGUAGGACACUCUAUACGGAGUUACAAAGGACGACAUUAGACGAAUCAUCUGGAAAGAUGAAUCAAAGAAGGUAAUAAUCCUGUAGUCGAAAAUGUUGUCUCUCUUGAGUGGAUCCUGAGUACGACGGAGCACGUGAAAUUCCGUCGGAAUCUGGGAGGACCAUCUCCUAAGGCUAAAUACUCUCUAGUGACCGAUAGUGAACCAGUACCGUGAGGGAAAGGUGAAAAGCACCCCGGAAGGGGAGUGAAAUAGAACCUGAAACCGUGUGCUUACAAGUAGUCAGAGCCCGUUAAUGGGUGAUGGCGUGCCUUUUGUAGAAUGAACCGGCGAGUUACGAUUUGAUGCAAGGUUAAGCAGUAAAUGUGGAGCCGUAGCGAAAGCGAGUCUGAAUAGGGCGUUUAGUAUUUGGUCGUAGACCCGAAACCAGGUGAUCUACCCUUGGUCAGGUUGAAGUUCAGGUAACACUGAAUGGAGGACCGAACCGACUUACGUUGAAAAGUGAGCGGAUGAACUGAGGGUAGCGGAGAAAUUCCAAUCGAACCUGGAGAUAGCUGGUUCUCUCCGAAAUAGCUUUAGGGCUAGCCUCAAGUGAUGAUUAUUGGAGGUAGAGCACUGUUUGGACGAGGGGCCCCUCUCGGGUUACCGAAUUCAGACAAACUCCGAAUGCCAAUUAAUUUAACUUGGGAGUCAGAACAUGGGUGAUAAGGUCCGUGUUCGAAAGGGAAACAGCCCAGACCACCAGCUAAGGUCCCAAAAUAUAUGUUAAGUGGAAAAGGAUGUGGCGUUGCCCAGACAACUAGGAUGUUGGCUUAGAAGCAGCCAUCAUUUAAAGAGUGCGUAAUAGCUCACUAGUCGAGUGACACUGCGCCGAAAAUGUACCGGGGCUAAACAUAUUACCGAAGCUGUGGAUUGUCCUUUGGACAAUGGUAGGAGAGCGUUCUAAGGGCGUUGAAGCAUGAUCGUAAGGACAUGUGGAGCGCUUAGAAGUGAGAAUGCCGGUGUGAGUAGCGAAAGACGGGUGAGAAUCCCGUCCACCGAUUGACUAAGGUUUCCAGAGGAAGGCUCGUCCGCUCUGGGUUAGUCGGGUCCUAAGCUGAGGCCGACAGGCGUAGGCGAUGGAUAACAGGUUGAUAUUCCUGUACCACCUAUAAUCGUUUUAAUCGAUGGGGGGACGCAGUAGGAUAGGCGAAGCGUGCGAUUGGAUUGCACGUCUAAGCAGUAAGGCUGAGUAUUAGGCAAAUCCGGUACUCGUUAAGGCUGAGCUGUGAUGGGGAGAAGACAUUGUGUCUUCGAGUCGUUGAUUUCACACUGCCGAGAAAAGCCUCUAGAUAGAAAAUAGGUGCCCGUACCGCAAACCGACACAGGUAGUCAAGAUGAGAAUUCUAAGGUGAGCGAGCGAACUCUCGUUAAGGAACUCGGCAAAAUGACCCCGUAACUUCGGGAGAAGGGGUGCUCUUUAGGGUUAACGCCCAGAAGAGCCGCAGUGAAUAGGCCCAAGCGACUGUUUAUCAAAAACACAGGUCUCUGCUAAACCGUAAGGUGAUGUAUAGGGGCUGACGCCUGCCCGGUGCUGGAAGGUUAAGAGGAGUGGUUAGCUUCUGCGAAGCUACGAAUCGAAGCCCCAGUAAACGGCGGCCGUAACUAUAACGGUCCUAAGGUAGCGAAAUUCCUUGUCGGGUAAGUUCCGACCCGCACGAAAGGCGUAACGAUUUGGGCACUGUCUCAACGAGAGACUCGGUGAAAUCAUAGUACCUGUGAAGAUGCAGGUUACCCGCGACAGGACGGAAAGACCCCGUGGAGCUUUACUGUAGCCUGAUAUUGAAAUUCGGCACAGCUUGUACAGGAUAGGUAGGAGCCUUUGAAACGUGAGCGCUAGCUUACGUGGAGGCGCUGGUGGGAUACUACCCUAGCUGUGUUGGCUUUCUAACCCGCACCACUUAUCGUGGUGGGAGACAGUGUCAGGCGGGCAGUUUGACUGGGGCGG